GAUGAACGCUGGCGGCGUGCCUAAUACAUGCAAGUCGAGCGAAUGGAUUAAGAGCUUGCUCUUAUGAAGUUAGCGGCGGACGGGUGAGUAACACGUGGGUAACCUGCCCAUAAGACUGGGAUAACUCCGGGAAACCGGGGCUAAUACCGGAUGACAUUUUGAACCGCAUGGUUCGAAAUUGAAAGGCGGCUUCGGCUGUCACUUAUGGAUGGACCCGCGUCGCAUUAGCUAGUUGGUGAGGUAACGGCUCACCAAGGCAACGAUGCGUAGCCGACCUGAGAGGGUGAUCGGCCACACUGGACUGAGACACGGCCCAGACUCCUACGGGAGGCAGCAGUAGGGAAUCUUCCGCAAUGGACGAAAGUCUGACGGAGCAACGCCGCGUGAGUGAUGAAGGCUUUCGGGUCGUAAAACUCUGUUGUUAGGGAAGAACAAGUGCUAGUUGAAUAAGCUGACACCUUGACGGUACCUAACCAGAAAGCCACGGCUAACUACGUGCCAGCCGCCGCAGUAA
rnacentral:rRNA from 1 species